rnacentral:misc_RNA from 1 species
GAUGAAGAACAUAGCGAAAUGCGAUAAGUAAUGUGAAUUGCAGAAUUCAGUGAAUCAUCGAAUCUUUGAACGCACAUUGCGCCCGCCAGUAUUCUGGCGGGCAUGCCUGUUCGAGCGUCAUUUCAACCAUCAAGCCCCAGGCUUGUGUUGGGGACCUGCGGCUGCCGCAGGCCCUGAAAACCAGUGGCGGGCUCGCUGUCACACCGGGCGUAGUAGAUUUUAUCUCGCUCAGGGCGUGCUGCGGGUUCCGGCCGUUAAAAAGCCUUUUUUACCCAAGGUUGACCUCGGAUCAGGUAGGAAGACCCGCUGAACUUAAGCAUAUCAAUAAGCGGAGGA